AACGAACGUCAGCGGCGCGCUUAACACAUGCAAGUCGAGCGCCUGGAGACUUCGGUCGAAGGGAGCGGCGCACGGGUGAGUAACACGUAGGUAAUCUGCCUUUGGGUGGUGGAUAACGUUCCGAAAGGAACGCUAAUACAGCAUGAGACCACGAUCUCGUUGGGGUUGUGGCCAAAGAGGGCCUCUUCUUGAAAGCUCUCGCCUAAAGAUGAGCCUGCGGCCCAUCAGCUAGUUGGUAGGGUAAUGGCCUACCAAGGCAAAGACGGGUAGCUGGUCUGAGAGGAUGAACAGCCACACUGGAACUGAGACACGGUCCAGACUCCUACGGGAGGCAGCAGUGGGGAAUUUUGCGCAAUGGGCGAAAGCCUGACGCAGCGACGCCGCGUGAGUGAUGAAGGCCUUCGGGUUGUAAAGCUCUGUGGGAGGGGAAGAAUAAUGCACAGCGAAUACCUGUGCAGAUGACGGUACCCUCUUAGCAAGCACCGGCUAACUCUGUGCCAGCAGCCGCGGUAAUACAGAGGGUGCAAACGUUGUUCGGAAUUACUGGGCGUAAAGCGCAUGUAGGCGGCUUUGUAAGUCGGAUGUGAAAUCCCUCGGCUCAA
rnacentral:rRNA from 1 species